UCUACUAGUGUAAUAACACAGAUAAAAAUACAAUCAGUCACACAGAUAUAGGAACAAUCACAAUGAGAAUUGAGAAUCAGCACAAACUGGGCUCCUGCUCCAGUCAGAUGAAACUGUAUGCAUGACUAACUACGCGACCAUACUCGACUAGGCCACCUUCGCUACACUAGGACAGCAAUAGAACUAUCAUCAUGCCUUCGGCCGUCACCCUGUUACAUGAAUCAGAAGAGAAGAAUCAAAACACUGGAGCCAGUAUAUUAUGAAUAGAACGUUCAAAAAAAGGACAAGUUGUUUAGAAUGAUAACACAAAUUCAGCUAAUACAAUGAUUUUUGUUCCCCAUAUAGUUAAGACGAUAUACUCAUUCAUACAAGGUGACACAAGAAAAUAGAGCACUUUACUCAUAGCAUGCAGAGUAUCAUUAUUAUGUUCAUAUCAGCUUAUUCUUAUGCCUACAGCAAGGAAAUAAAUCUUACCAAAGAAGUAACAACUCCAUAAAUUAAAACAUCAGGGCUAAAUAAGAAGACUAAUCAGGGCUAAACAUCAGGGCUUAAUAAAAAUAGAACAUUCUGCAUUUGGUGCGAAAAUGGUUAGAGCAAAGAGGAGAUUCAGAAACAGAGCAAACCAAAUCAAAUCGAACACAAACCGACAUUUUCAGACGAAUAUUUUUGUUUAACUCAUUUACUGUUGCUCCCUUUAAUUUUUAGGACUGCAUAUUCUGAAUCUACUAGUACUAGAUACCUACUGAUUAGUAAAUAAAGCUGAGUUAUACUAGUAGUGGUGUUGCUCAAUUGCCACUGUUCUUAUCAUAUUUACUCCAUAACAACUAACAUGAACCUGCCAAUUGAUUAAAACCUAAGCUGUGUACAUUUCAGAACAACAACCAAACUUAAGGCAUGAUGAUAGACUGUGAGAAAAUAAACUAAACUUCAGAGGAGUGCUAACCAAGAACCCUUUAAUUAACCGUAGCAUUUCAUCAACACCCCCAACCAAACAGGAGCAUGAGCAGGACAAUAGCUACUACCCAGUAUAACAGCAAAAUGGCAUAAUCAUACAACUUGUAAGAGAUGGACUCAGGGAUGGUAAGUGUCGGUGUCAAAACCGGCGGAUCUCGGGUAGGGGGUCCCGAACUGUGCGUCUAGGCGGAUGGUAAUAGGAGACAAGGGACACGAUGUUUUUACUUAGGUUUGGGCCCUCUCGAUGGAGGUAAAUCCCUACUCCUGCUUGAUUAAUAUUGAUGAUAUGGGUAGUACAAGAGUAGAUCUACCACGAGAUCAGAGAGGCUAAACCCUAGAAGCUAGCCUAUGGUAUGAUUGUUGUUCGUCCUACGGACUAAAACCCUCCGAUUUAUAUAGGCACCAAAGAGGGUUAGGGUUACACAGAGUCGGUUACAAUGGUAGGAGAUCUACAUAUCCGUAUCGCCAAGCUUGCCUUCCACGCAAAGGAAAGUCCCAUCCGGACACGGGACGAAGUCUUCAAUCUUGUAUCUUCAUAGUCCAGGAGUCCGCCCAAAGGUGAUAGUUUGGCUAUCCGGACACCCCCUAAUCCAGGACUCCCUCAGUAGCCCCCGAACUAGGCUUCAUUGGCGAUGAGUCCGGCGUGUAGAUUGUCUUCGGCAUUGCAGGGCGGGUUCUUCUCCAAAUCAUGUGUACCUAUUGAAUAGCAUCCGGCUUCUUGUAAAUAUUGCGCUCCUAGGCUUCCACGCCCAAUAAUGGCCAUCUUCCACGUGUUGAACGAAUGCGAAAAGCCAGGGUAUUUUUACAUUUAGCCCCUUAGCUGCACAAAUGAGCUGCCUAUAAAAGAGGCGAGGAUCUAGAUCCGAAACACACCAUGCUCCCUUCGCGAGCAUUCAUCAGAGCGCAUCUGACAGAAAUCCAUUCCAUCAUGGACAGUCGACGCGGCUCCUCCUCUCGCCUUCCCAGCCCUCAGCUUGGAGAUUGGGAGAGAUGCUCCAUCCCGCACAACAAGUUAGUGACGCUCCAAACCAAGGGAUUUCUUCCCCCAGCCUUCAUGGUUCCGGUUCGAGCCGGACACGCCACCUAUAAGGGCGGAAAGCAAGCGGAGAGCAUCCCCAGCCCCUCCAAAGGAGAGCGGGUAUGCCUUGUCUCUUAUUUGAUAAGAGGGCUCGGAUUUCCAAUUCAUCCGUUUCUCCCGAGGCUCCUGGAGUUCUACGGCCUCCAGUUGCACAACCUUACGCCUGCCUCCAUUUUGCAUAUUGCGGGCUUUAUGGCCCUUUGCGAGCUGUUUUUGGGCAUCGAGGCUCAUUUUGUGCUGUGGAAGAAGCUGUUCUGCCUUGUGCCCCGUUCUCAAGAGGGGUCAAUAUAUAAAGUGGGUGGAGCCGAACUAUGACGCAUCGCCGGGACCGGAUAUCUAUCCGGAACCCCGAACAAGGCGUCCGAAGACUGGCCUUCGGAAUGGUUUUAUAUAGAAGAUGUCCCCCUACCGGAACCUGUUCGGAUCAGCCUCCCUGAGUUCAGUAACGCUCCUUUGAAGAAACACCUAAGCUGGCGUCCACGGAGCCCUCAAAAGUAAAAUGAUAGGGACGUCCUUUACCUGAUGAGCUGAAUACAGUUGUUAGCUCAUUCCGGAUUGACCAUGUGGGAUUUCAACGGGGAGGAUGAUGCCACCCGCUGUGGUCGUAAGGGGCCGGGAUCGGUCGCCGAUCUGAUGAAGAUCUUGUCCGCAUUGUACAAGGGAGAAGAGGAGGAAUUUCUCCGCGUCAAUCCACAGGACGGAUUUUCUAUGUACAAUCCUCCAAGCUAGGCAAGCGAACAUUUAUUUUUGCCUAUCUGAUCCAUACUCCCAUAGUCAACUCUCAUUUUGUGAUUUCGGCGCAGGAACUGCGCCGGGCCGUAAAGGAUAUAAACAGCCCGCCUCCACAACCCGAGGGUCCGGAACGGUUCCUCGAUCCAACCUCCCAAGAGGAUGCGGACAUAUCGGUGGAUCUGAUCGAUGGGGUAUUUUACCAACUGAGCAUCGAUAAUGCCUUGGUCGCCAUUACGGCCGAUUACCCCGGAAUACAUCCAGCCUCGCAGGUAACUGAGACUGAAGUCCCAAUACUUUGACAAUGACCCAUCCGUGCUUGUUCUUGAUCACCGUAUACCAAUGGUGUUUCGCAGGGGAAGUCCUUGAGGCAGAAGGCCGAGCCUGCGACGGCUAGUCAACAAGGGACAGCAAGGCCCAACAGGCUGAAAAGAAGUGCAGUCUAGAUUGAAACGCCGGUGCAACGGUAUGGCGUGUCAUCUUACUCCCAGGUUUUAUUCCCGGGAGGCAUACUAACGCUCGUACUUUUUCAGGAAGAAGAGCGCUCGCCGGACUGUAUCCGGAGAGGUGGCCAAUCAAUCUUCCGCUCACCAGGCUCCAAAGCCAGGCCCGGAAGCGGAGGAGAACACGAGGAGUGCGUCGGGUGCCCCUCCGACAGAGGAUGCCGACAGGUUAUCUGCCACCAAUUCUGAGGUGGAGAGUGCCAUGAAUCACAGGCGUCGCCGGACAGUUCUUCGUGGCGCAUGUUUCUCCCCAGAGGCAUUGGAUGCCUUCAAUUCAGGAGAUGCACACCUCCGUGCCGCUCAAAAUGGUCUAGCCAGAGCCACGAAGCAGUAUGUAAAAGACAUACGGGUGAGAAAAUUUGACAGUUAUAUAUGCCAGUAGCCCACGAGACUUGAAAUAGUUAGAAUAACUAAUUUGAGGAUCAUUUAUUGUGUAGGAUCUUACAGAAAAGAAUACCCAACUGUCCCAGGAGCUGGAGGAGUGCAAAGCCCAACUUGAGGCUGCACUAGCCGCAGCGGGGGAAGCCAAAGAGACGCCCUCUGGUAAUAUAUGCUUCGAAAGAUAAGUAAUUUGUGAAGUGUGGCGUGUGUAUAAGUCUAACAAUAAUAUUGCAGAUGGCGCCGGGAUAGAUCCGGACAAGCAACAGCUCAUGCGCCGGUUAAAGGCCGGCGAGAAUGUGCUUACAAGGGUGAGGCAAGAGAAAAAUAAUCUCCAAGAUGCCAACACCCAGCUGGGUGAGGAACUAAAGGAUGUUCGUGCCCAGCUGUCUGACUCCGUUAAGGAGAAUCGGCGGCUUCGACGCGGCAUUUUUAGUAAGUGCUCGAACGAACUUUGAAAAAGAGUUCGGCGAGCAAGUCGACUAACAGAGGUAUAUCUGUAGGUAUGCUCACAGGACGUCCUGCAGAGGAAAUGCCCGGUUCUAUGGGUGACCUUCUUCCCGAGCUCUUGCAACUGCACGAACGAGUUCGGCAGGUGAUGAAAGGCGUCGCCCAGGCCUUGUGGCCAUCUGUCUCCCUGCCCGAAGGGCUUGGAGAGCUUGCAGAGAGGCUUCAGGGAGCGCGGCGGCGCUUUCGAUUAUGGAAGAUAUCAGGCUGCCGUCAAGGCGCCAGGGAGGCCUGGGCCAUGGUGAAGACGCGGUACACGAAGGCUGACCACAACCACAUGGCCGAGGUCAGACCUGUGGGGCCCGAUGGGAAGGAGAUCCCUCUGAGCUUAGUGUACGGGCAAGUAAAGUUGGCCGCAAAGUAUUCCCAGAAGGACUGUAAACUAGACAGCCUAUUAGAUGGCAUUGAAGAGGAAUACAAUCAGUUGAAUUGACUAUGUAAUUUUAAGAUGACAUGUAAAAUGCCUUCUAGCCGGAUUGUAGAUCGUUUGUCAUAGCGGACCUUUUCGCUUCAACCUCGGGAUCCAAUGGUCCGGAGUGUGUCCGAAUACCCUCGCGGUUAUAUAAGAACCGGGGCAUGCGUGGAGACCAGGCGUAGGGGUCAUUAGUGCUCUAUUAGACAAGUGCCCAACUAGUUAUGUUAUAUUACAUGGUUAGUAAGAAACAUCUUCCAGGGAGAAUAGUUUCGUUAGGGGUUCCUUUCCCUGGGAGGCAUGCCCUAAAGUGCAUGUCCGGACUGCGAAAAAAGCAGAAAAACAUGUGGGGGCAGAUAAAUAAAUAGGUAAGAAAUCGUCUUUUAGUUCACCGACCGAAUAUUUCCUUAAGAAUGCUAGCUUUCGGCUUCACCCAGUCUGAGGUACACAUCCGGCUGACCCGGCAGUAACAAUCGCAGAGGUGCUCCCUUUACCACCUAGCCGAACAAUCGGGAACGUAGGGGUAAGCACAGGAGCCAGGCAACCCAGCUUGGCCAAAACUUAAGUCAUAUCAAUGCAUAUAAUGGUGAAUAAAAGGUACAUGCGGAAGUGUGACACAUGUGUUGGGCAUGAAGCCCAUAUAAAUAAGCUUCUGUUAAAGAAGCCCCCAGGUAUAAUGAGCGGGGAUAGCGCAUCAAGUGUGUGUGAACAAAGCGCGAACGAGCCUUCAAAGGCUGUAAGAGAAAAAGGGGGAGAAGGGGAGAAAUAUAAGACAGCUACUGUAUAAAAUAUAGACGGAGGAAGGAGACGAAGUCAAAAUCCGGCGCUAGGCGUAGAAUCUUCGCACACGGUCUGCGUUCCAUGGGUUCGGCUCGAGUCGGUUAUCCGAUGCAUUUCGCAGACGGUACACUCUGCCGGUCAGGACUUGGUCGAUGAUGAAGGGACCUUCCCAUUUGGGCUUGAGUUUGUCCUUUUUCUUGUCCGGCAGGCGUAGAACUAACUCGUCGACAUUGUAAGUUUUGGCUCGUACUUCUCUACUUUGAUAUCUUCGAGCCUGUUGUUGAUAGAAUGCGGAACAGGCUUUUGCCACAUCACACUCCUCCUCCAAUGCGUCCAAAUUGUCCUGCUGAUCGAGCUCAGCUUCUCUUUCUUCGUACAUGCGCACGCGAGGUGAGUCAUGAAUUAUGUCACAGGGCAGAACUGCCUCUACGCCGUAUACCAUAAAGAAUGGUGUAAAUUCGGUGGUGCGAUUCGGAGUGGUCCGCAGCCCCCAGAGUACGGAGUCGAGCUCCUCUACCCAGUGCAUGUUAGAUUCCUUGAGGGACCGCACUAAUCUGGGUUUGAUGCCGCUCAUGACUAGACCAUUUGCUCGCUCGACUUGGCCGUUAGUUUGAGGGUGAUAGACUGAAGCAUAGUCGAGCUUGAUGCCCAUGUUUUUGCACCAGAGUUUGACCUCGUCGGCCGUAAAGUUCGUGCCGUUAUCAGUGAUGAUGCUAUGGGGGACACCCUAACGGUGUACGACCCCUGAUAUGAAGUCUAUCACCGGUCCGGAUUCGACCGUCUUAACAGGUUUGGCCUCUAUCCAUUUGGUGAAUUUAUCCACCAUGACCAGUAGGUAUUUUUGCUUGUGGGUUCCUCCUUUAAGGGGUCCAAUCAUGUCAAGCCCCCAGACCACGAAGGGCCAGGUUAUGGGUAUGGUUUUGAGGGCGGUGGCUGGCAUGUGGCUUUGAUUAGCAAAGAGCUGGCAACCAACGCAUUGUUGGACUAAGUCCUGAGCGUCUGCCCGGGCCGUCGGCCAAUAAAAUCCUGUACAGAAGGCCUUGCCUACAAGGGUCCGGGCUGCAGCGUGAUGCCCGCCGAGUCCGGCAUGAAUUUCAGCCAGAAGAUUCCGCCCUUCCUCUUCGGAGAUACAGCUUUGAAGGACUCCGGUUGUGCUUUUCUUGUAAAGCUCUCCCUCAUGGACCUUAUAGGCUUUAGAUCGCCACACUAUGCAGCGGGCCUCGUUUUGGUCCUCGGGAAGUUCCUGCCUGGUUAGGUAGGCUAAUAAUGGUUCCGUCCACGGGGCAAUGACUGCCAUUAUGACGUGGGCUGAGGAUGUUACUUCGUUGGCAGAACCGCCGAUGGUGUCAGAGUGUUCGGUGUUGGGCAGUGCGGUUGGGUCCGCGUUGUUAUUUCCGGAUUCCCCCUCCCAUAGUACGGAUGGCUUGAACAGCCUCUCUAGGAAUAUGUUGGGAGGGACGGCAUCGCGCUUUGCGCCAAUGCGUGCCAAUAUGUCUGCUGCCUGGUUGUUAUCCCGGGCUAUAUGGUGAAAUUCGAGCCCCUCAAACCAAGCUGACAUUUUUAGGACGGCGUUGCGAUAAGCUGUCAUUUUCGGAUCCUUGGCAUCGAAUUCUCCAUUUAUUUGGGAUGUCACGAGGUUCGAAUCCCCGCGCACCUCUAGGCGUUGAAUGCCCAUGGAGACUGCCAUCCGGAGGCCAUGUAAAAGGGCCUCGUAUUCUGCUGCAUUGUUGGAGUCUGUAUACAUUAUCUGUAGUACGUAUUGAACCGUAUCUCUGGUUGGGGAUGUCAGAACGACGCCAGCCCCCAGACCAGCCAACAUUUUGGAGCCGUCAAAGUGCAUGAUCCAGUUGGAAUAUGCGCCGUACUCUUUAGGGAGUUCGGCUUCAGUCCAUUCGGUGACGAAGUCGGCCAAAACUUGCAAAUUAAUAGCUUGCCAUGGCUUAUAGGUUAUGUCGAACAGGAGGAGCUCAAUGGCCCAUUUGGCAAUCCGGCCCGUCGAGUCGCGCUUGUUUAUAAUGUCAUUAAGAGGUACUUCGGAGGCUACUGCUAUCGAACACUCUUGAAAGUAGUGUCGCAGCUUCCGGGAUGCCAUGAACACUGCGUACGCUAUCUUUUGAUAAUGCGGGUACCAUGACUUGCAUGGAGUUAGGACAAUGGACACGUAGUAAACUGGUUUUUGAAGGGGGAACUUGUGUACGUCCGUUUCUUGUUCGACAAUGAGCACCGCGCUCACAACUUGAUGAGUUGCCGCGAUAUAUAAUAGCAUUGGUUCGCCCAUGUUGGGCGCGGCCAGGACCGGGUUUGUUGCCAAUAUGGCUUUUAUUUCUUCGAGUCUGGCCGUGGUGGCAUCCAUCCACUCGAAUUGUUCGGUGUGUCGGAGGAGGCGAUAAAGGGGUAAUGCCUUUUCUCCUAAACGGGAGAUAAAGCGGCUUAAAGCCGCCACACAUCCCGUCAAUUUUUGUAUUUGUUUGAUAUCUGGGAUAUCCAAUUAUGACAGAGCUCGGAUCUUGGCUGGGUUUGCUUCAAUACCUCUACCGAAUACAAUGAAGCCCAAGAGCUUUCUGGCUGGUAUGCCGAAAACACAUUUUUCCGUGUUAAGCUUAAUGUCAUAUGUUCGAAGAUUAUCGAACGUGAGCCUCAAAUCGUCUACUAGAGUUUCGACGUGCUUGGUUUUGACGACCUCAUCGUCUAUGUAUGCCUCCACUGUUUUGCCGAUCUAGUUUGCCAGACAUGUCUGAAUCAUGCGCUGAUAUGUUGCGCCGGUGUUUUUGAGCCCAAAGGGCAUUGUGUUGAAGCAGAAUGGGCCGUAUGGGGUUAUGAAUGCCGUUGCGGCUGGUCGGGCUCUGCCAUCUUAAUUUGGUGGUAGCCGGAGUAUGCGUCGAGGAAACACAAUGAAUCGUGUCCUGCGGUAGCGUCUAUAAUUUGAUCGAUGUGGGGGAGUAGGAAGGUAUCCUUUGGGCAAGCCUUGUUGAGGUCCUUAAAAUCGACGCAUAGGCGCCAGGAUUUGUCCUUCUUUGGUACCAUCACCAGGUUUGCUAGCCAGUCUAGAUGUUUUAUAUCUAUGAUGAAUCCGGCCUCCAACAAUUUGGCUAGCUCCUCUCCGAUGGCCUGUCUCUUGGGUUCGGAGAAACACCGAAGGCCCUGUUUGACUGGCUUGAAUCCUUUUAGGAUGUUUAGGCUGUCCUCGGCCAGCUGGCAUGGGAUUCCUGGCAUGUCUGACGGGUGCCAGGCAAAAAUGUCCCAAUUUUCGCGUAGGAAUUCUCGUAGUGCGGCGUCUACAUCAGGGUUUAGUUGUGCCCCGAUGGAGGCCGUUUUUGUAGGGUCCGUUGGAUGGACUUGGAAUUUGACUAUUUCGUCCGCUGGUUUAAAGGAGGUUGACUUGGAUCUCUUAUCGAGUAUCACAUCGUCCCUAUUCACCGUGGAGCGCAGUGCAGUGAGUUUGUCGGCCGCUAGGGCUUCGGAUAGUGCCUCAAGGGCCAGUGCGGCUGUCUUAUUUUCAGCCCGGAGUGCUAUGUCCAGGUCACUAGCAAGAGUGAUGAUUCCGUUGGGCCCGGGCAUUUUGAGCUUCAUGUACCCGUAAUGGGGUAUAGCUUGAAAAAUUGUGAAUGCCUCUCGCCCUAAUAGAGUGUGAUAUCCGCUGCUGAACGGGGCCACUUGGAAAGUGACCUCCUCGGACCUGUAAUUAUCCAGCGUGCCGAACACCACAUCUAGUGUUAUUUUUCCUAUAUAGCAUGCAUCCCGACUGGGGAUUAUUCCUCUAAAGGUUGUGCUGCUCAAUGCGGCUCCAGUCUAUUUCCAUUUUUCGGAGGGUUUCCUCGUAAAUGUGGUUCAAUCCGCUGCCACCGUCCAUGAGUACCUUGGUAAGGCGAAAGCCGUCCACUAUUGGACUAAGGACCAAUGCGGCUGGUGCUCGGGCUGUUCGGAAUUUAGGUUCAUCACUGGCAUUAAAGGUAAUAGCCGUGUCACUCCAUGGGUUUAUUGUUGCUACUUGGUAGACUUCGGCAAGGCUGCGGAGUGUUUGUUUCCGCAUAUUAUUUGAUGCGAAAGUCUUGAAGACUGUUAAUACCGUACUGAUAUCCUUGGGCUGGUGCUCUGGAGUUAGAAGCUCUUCGCCACUUUUGGCCACCUGCCGUAGUAUCCAACAUGCUCUAAGGCUAUGAGUUGGAGUGGCGCCCUCUGUACUAUGAAUUUUAGAGGGUCCAUUUAUCCAUCCUUCUAGUACGGUUCCAUGCCCUAUAGAGGGUUUUUGUUUUUUGGUAUUUAACCCGGGUGCCUGGCGAUGAUGCACCCUUUUAUUUCGGACUGGGGUUGUAUUCAGGGCCGGAUUGUCCCAAAAAUUAAUUUUGGUUUUCCAGACGCUUUCCAUGGCACAGUACUUUUGUACUAUGGACGCCAAGUCAGCAAAGCGUGUAAUUUCACGACGACUUACGGCGUUGAGGAUUCCCUUGUCCGUGGAAUUAUUGCAGAAGAAUGAAAUUGCAUCCUCCUCGCGGCAAUCCUUUAUCCUGUUGAUAACCAGGAGGAAUCUGGCCCAGUAAUGGUGUACUAUUUCUGCGGGCUCUUGCCGGAUUUGGGAUAGAUCCCCUAUGUUUGGGUGGGCGGGUUUAAUUAAAUUCGGAACCCCGUCCAAUCUAAGACUCAGGGGCCAAGAAGUUUCCGAACUUGGAAGCUUGGGUUCUUGGAUGUUGUCCAAUGAAUCUAGUGCGCUGCCUGACUUUAGGUUCAGGGCUUGAGUGACGUCCUCCCCUCCGUGGGAAUCCGGAAUGGAGGGAUUGGGAAUCCGGACAUAGCUAGUCCUUAAAAUAGAGGAAGGGUCGCCAUAUUGUUCCUCAACCACAGCAACGUGGUGGGUAACCUGGGGAGAGUUGAUCUCUCUCAGAUCAGGUUUAGGCCCAAUCUGAUCGUAGUCUGUAGAGACUGCCAGGGCGGCGAUGCGAUCCAAGAGCUCGUUUAAGGAAGAGAGCUCCAUCGGAUCUAACUGCUCGGCGAGUUCCGAGUUAACAUGAAGAUUGCUUUCGAUGACCCGAGAAGUCAUCGUUGGCGCGGAGGCCGAAGAGGCGGUCAUAAGAAAACUGCCUAGCCAGAGAGUUUGGCUGAUGGCCAAAGCUCCUUUAGCAACGGUGCCAUCUUUAAAGACGGGAUGAGACAUCCUUCCUGAUGGCGAUGGCACAGAGGAACUCUCAAUGAAAGCACCAAUGUCGGUGUCAAAACCGGAGGAUCUCGGGUAGGGGGUCCCGAACUGUGCGUCUAGGCAGAUGGUAACAGGAGGCAAGGGACACCAUGUUUUUACCCAGGUUCGGGCCCUCUCGAUGGAGGUAAAACCCUACUCCUGCUUGAUUAAUAUUGAUGAUAUGGGUAGUACAAGAGUAGAUCUACCAUGAGAUUAGAGAGGCUAAACCCUAGAAGCUAGCCUAUGGUAUGAUUGUUGUUCGUCCUACGGACUAAAACCCUCCGGUUUAUAUAGGCACCGAAGAGGGUUAGGGUUACGCAGAGUCGGUUACAAUGGUAGGAGAUCUACAUAUCCGUAUUGCCAAGCUUGCCUUCCACGCCAAGGAAAGCCCCAUCCGGACACGGGACGAAGUCUUCAAUCUUGUAUCUUCAUAGUCCAGGAGUCCGGCCAAAGGUGAUAGUUCGGCUAUCCGGACACCCCCUAAUCCAGGACUCCUUAGUAAGGAAACAUCAGAUGAGGGGAGGGAGGGUGCAGACGCUAGUACUCAUUGCCAAGCUGAACGAUCAGCUUCGCUAUGACAGGUUUGAGGACCCUCGUCGCCAUGCUGACGAGAGUCGCCUCCAUGGUCAUGCUAGCUCAGAGCUCAACCAGUCAACCGUG
rnacentral:lncRNA from 1 species